rnacentral:rRNA from 1 species
GAUGAACGCUGGCGGCGUGCCUAAUACAUGCAAGUCGAGCGAACAGACGAGGAGCUUGCUCCUCUGACGUUAGCGGCGGACGGGUGAGUAACACGUGGAUAACCUACCUAUAAGACUGGGAUAACUUCGGGAAACCGGAGCUAAUACCGGAUAAUAUAUUGAACCGCAUGGUUCAGUAGUGAAAGACGGUUUUGCUGUCACUUAUAGAUGGAUCCGCGCCGCAUUAGCUAGUUGGUAAGGUAACGGCUUACCAAGGCAACGAUGCGUAGCCGACCUGAGAGGGUGAUCGGCCACACUGGAACUGAGACACGGUCCAGGCUCCUACGGGAGGCAGCAGUAGGGAAUCUUCCGCAAUGGGCGAAAGCCUGACGGAGCAACGCCGCGUGAGUGAUGAAGGUCUUCGGAUCGUAAAACUCUGUUAUUAGGGAAGAACAAAUGUGUAAGUAACUAUGCACGUCUUGACGGUACCUAAUCAGAAAGCCACGGCUAACUACGUG